rnacentral:misc_RNA from 1 species
AAGUCGUAACAAGGUUUCCGUAGGUGAACCUGCGGAAGGAUCAUUACCAAAUCCAAAUACCCAAACCCCAUGUGAACUAUUGUAUAGUCUGUCUUUGGGAGAAAAAGAAGGAGAAAUCUGGAUUUUUCUCCCAAUAGAGUCCGGCAUAACUUUUCGGUUGUGUCCAGAUUCGAAAACCCUUUAAACCACUUGAUUUUUCUGUUGGAAUUUCUUUUAUUAAUUAUAAAUAAAAGACAACUUUUAACGGUGGAUCUCUUGGCUCGUG